GCGGGUGUAGUUUAGUGGUAAAACCCUAGCCUUCCAAGCUAAUGAUAGGAGUUCGAUUCUCCUCACCCGCU
rnacentral:tRNA from 1 species